rnacentral:tRNA from 1 species
GCCGGAGUGGCGGAAUGGCAGACGCGCUGGACUCAAAAUCCAGUGCCCGCAAGGGCGUGUGGGUUCAACUCCCACCUCCGGCA